GCCUGAGGGGCAGUGUGUAGUAGGAGGCAGACAUGUCCAGUCUGAGUGCAGUCUGAGUAGUGUCUCUUCUCUCCCUGGGAAAGGGGACCAAGAUGGCCUGAUGGAAACCUUGGAACGAGACCCAUGGUUCACUGGAGGAGGCCAUGAUCACUGUGGAUGCCAACUCUCUGCAGGAACAUUCAUGACAGGAGCUUCAUGGAAAAGCAAGCAUGGGGCCUGCUCUCUCAACCAGGUGUCCCUGGGGACUUAAUCCUCCUGGGCUGAGCCCCACUCAUCACAUGGGAAUUUAAAAUGCAGGAGUCCUCUGAGGCCAUCGCCACCAUGCUGUGAUAACUCUGUGGAGCUGACUGGCUGGAUUCUUGAUGGUGCUACGUUUGGUUGAAAGCCCAGGAACUCUCCAGGUCUAAGCUGAGCACAGCUCUUACCAGGACCCAAUAGCUGCUGAGCCUGGAUACCCAGAGAAGAAGCUCUGCAUGUGAGGAAUUCUAAGGUCAAGAGUGAGCCUAUUCAGUUUCUGCCUACCCUACCUGAGAAGGCCUUCAUGUGACCCGAUAGGAGCCUUGAGCAAAGCUGAGACUGGCCAGGAAAUGACAGCCUGUCCAAGUGGACACUCAGCAGAAACAACACUUCUUCAUCUUUCCCAAUGGACCAGAAGACACUCCUACCCGCAGAAAGCAGUGGGCAGGGUGGAAAGAGGAGGUCUGCUCUGAUUAGAGGGUAUGUACUCUCUCCUUAGGGUCAGAGUUAGGAAGACAU